rnacentral:rRNA from 1 species
UACGUAGGGUGCGAGCGUUGUCCGGAAUUAUUGGGCGUAAAGCGCGUGUAGGCGGUUGUUCAAGUCGGGUGUGAAAGCCUUGAGCUCAACUCAAGAAAUGCACUCGAUACUGGAUGACUUGAGGACCGGAGAGGAUAGUGGAAUUCCCAGUGUAGUGGUGAAAUACGUAGAGAUUGGGAAGAACACCAGUGGCGAAGGCGGCUAUCUGGUCUGCGACUGACGCUGUGGCGCGAAAGCUAGGGGAGCGAACGGG